UUUAAAGAGAGUUUGAUCCUGGCUCAGGACGAACGCUGGCGGCGUGCCUAAUACAUGCAAGUCGAACGAACGGAGGAAGAGCUUGCUCUUCCAAAGUUAGUGGCGGACGGGUGAGUAACACGUGGGCAACCUGCCUGUAAGUUGGGGAUAACUCCGGGAAACCGGGGCUAAUACCGAAUGAUAGAAUGUGGCGCAUGCCACGCUUUUGAAAGAUGGUUUCGGCUAUCGCUUACAGAUGGGCCCGCGGUGCAUUAGCUAGUUGGUAGGGUAAUGGCCUACCAAGGCAACGAUGCAUAGCCGACCUGAGAGGGUGAUCGGCCACACUGGGACUGAGACACGGCCCAGACUCCUACGGGAGGCAGCAGUAGGGAAUCUUCCGCAAUGGACGAAAGUCUGACGGAGCAACGCCGCGUGUAUGAAGAAGGUUUUCGGAUCGUAAAGUACUGUUGUUAGAGAAGAACAAGGAUAAGAGUAACUGCUUGUCCCUUGACGGUAUCUAACCAGAAAGCCACGGCUAACUACGUGCCAGCAGCCGCGGUAAUACGUAGGUGGCAAGCGUUGUCCGGAUUUAUUGGGCGUAAAGCGCGCGCAGGCGGUCUUUUAAGUCUGAUGUGAAAGCCCCCGGCUUAACCGGGGAGGGUCAUUGGAAACUGGAAGACUGGAGUGCAGAAGAGGAGAGUG
rnacentral:rRNA from 1 species